rnacentral:rRNA from 1 species
UAUCUCUGUAGAGUCUGCAUAUCAAUAAGCGGAGGAAAAGAAACUAACAAGGAUUCCCUUAGUAACGGCGAGUGAAGCGGGAAGAGCUCAAAUUUGAAAUCUUCAAGGUUCUACCUUGACGAAUUGUAGUUUAAAGAAGUGUUUUCUGUUAGAUGAGUAGCAAAAGUUCCUUGGAAUGGGACAUCAUAGAGGGUGAGAAUCCCGUAUUUGGUUAUUCAUUCUAGCUUUGUGAUACACUUUCAAAGAGUCGGAUUGUUUGGGAAUGCAGUCCAAAAUGGGUGGUAAAUUUCAUCUAAAGCUAAAUAUUGGCGAGAGACCGAUAGCGAACAAGUACCGUGAGGGAAAGAUGAAAAGAACUUUGAAAAGGAGAGUUAAACAGUACGUGAAAUUGUCAAAAGGGAAGCGUUUGACACCAGUGUUGUUUUCUCGAAAAUCAAUUAAAAAAGGCAGGAUUUUGUGUUGUAUUGACCUUUAUCAAGCUUUCUUCACUCUUUUCAUUGUCUUUUUUAAUGCACUUUUCGUUUAACAAGUCAACAUCAGUUUCUUUUGUUGUAAAAAGGUCAUUGGAAGGUGGCUUUCUUUUCGGAGAAAGUGUUUAUAGCCUUUGACUUCUGCAAUCGGAGAGACUGAGGUCUGCAGCGUAGAUCCUUCUGGAUUAGAUUCAUUUGUGCUAAGUUACAACCGUUUAUAGACAACUUGUUGACUAUAUUCGAUCCUGUAGCUUACUCGCUUAUGUAAUUUUACCUACGCUUAGGAUGUUGAAGAUGUAGCACAUCAU